GACACUUUGGCCGAGUGGUUAAGGCGGUGCCCUGCUAACAACCCAGCUAGUAAGGCAUUACGUUCGCGUGCGUAGGUUCGAAUCCUGCAGGUGUCG
rnacentral:tRNA from 1 species